rnacentral:rRNA from 1 species
AUUGAACGCUGGCGGCAUGCUUUACACAUGCGAGUCGAACGGCAGCGGGGAGGAGCUUGCUUCUCUGCCGGCGAGUGGCGAACGGGUGAGUAAUACAUCGGAACGUGUCGAGAAGAGGGGGAUAACCACCCGAAAGGGUGGCUAAUACCGCAUAAAUUCUGAGGAAGAAAGCUGGGGACCUAGGAAUAGGCCUAGCGCUUUUUGAGCGGCCGAUGUCGGAUUAGCUAGUUGGUGAGGUAAAGGCUCACCAAGGCGAAGAUCUGUAGCGGGUCUGAGAGGAUGAUCCGCCACACUGGGACUGAGACACGGCCCAGACUCCUACGGGAGGCAGCAGUGGGGAAUUUUGGACAAUGGGGGCAACCCUGAUCCAGCCAUGCCGCGUGUAUGAAGAAGGCCUUAGGGUUGUAAAGUACUUUUGUUAGGGAAGAAAAGUCAGCUGUGAAUAAUGGCUGAUACUGACGGUACCUAAAGAAUAAGCACCGGCUAACUACGUG